rnacentral:rRNA from 1 species
GAUGAACGCUGGCGGCGUGCCUAAUACAUGCAGGUCGAGCGAACAGAUGCGGAGCUUGCUCCUCUGACGUUAGCGGCGGACGGGCGUGUAACACGUGGAUAACCUACCUAUCAGACUGGGAUCACUUCGGAACACCGGCGCUUAUACCGGAUAAUAUAUUGCACCGCAUGGUUCAAUAGUGAAAGACGGUUUUGCUGUCACUUCUAGCUGGAUCCGCGCCGCAUUAGCUAGUUGGUAAGGUAACGGCUUACCAAGGCUACGAUGCGUAGCCGACGGGAGAGGGUGAUCGGCCACACUGGGACUGAGACACGGUCCAGACUCCUACGGUAGGCAGCAGUAGGGAAUCGGCCGCAAUGGGCGAAAGCAUGACGGAGCAACGGCGCGUGAGUGAUGAAGGUCUUCGGAUCGUAAAACUCUGUUACGAGUGAAGAACAAAUGUGGAAGUAACUAUGCACUUCGUGACGGUACCUAAUCAGAAAGCCACGGCUAACUACGUG